GCUGAGGGUAGCGAUCAUACUGUGGUUGCUGAUUGACAUGAAGUGCCAGACAGAUGCCGCAUCUUGCUCCGGAAGUGAUCUCUCUCCUAUCCUUCAUGAGUGGUAUAAACCAGGAAAGUUCCUCAUCGGCGGGAUUACAGCUCAGAUUGCCUACGUACUAAAGCAACAUUCUUUUGAUGAGCAUCCUUCGCAGAAUUCAUUUAUACCACCCCUAAAAGAGAAGAGAGAUAGAGGAGAGGAAAAGCAAAUCAGAACAACAAAAAGGAAAAGUCAUCUAUCUAUCGUCUCUUGCCUGCUUCAAUACUUUAAUUGCUAUGCUUUAAAAGAAAGAGAGAGAAAAGGAAAAGCAAAUCAGAACAACAACAAAGAAGAAUCAUCUAUCCAUCGUCUCUUGCCUGUUUCAAUACUUUAAUUGCUAUGCUUUUUUUUUUUACUUGCCUCCCAAAUUCCUCCCUUUAUCUCUGUCUGCAUCUGCUUCUUUACUGUUCAAUCUAGGUAUUUCUCCCACCUCUACCCUCUCCCACUGCCUAGUUUCCAAAAUUUCUACCCAGGCCCCUGUCUCCCUUUCAGACAUAUCUUCCAACUCUCUUAAUGUAUUUUCCCCCGGUUGAAUUAAUCAUUCACUGUUAUUUUCAUUGUUAUCUCCUCUUUGUCUCUAAGAGCUCUAUUUGUAAUCAGACGUUGUUUCGACGGUGUAUCAGCUUCAAAGAAUCUUUUGGAAUCAGCUUCAAAUAAUCUUACUGGAAUCUCAAUUUUAUUAUGUUUUUGUGGAUCAGGUUGACUGAUCACUGUGAGAGCCUAUCAAAUAGGGGUCCCCUAUCUGUAUACCUUUAAUGCUGUACCUAUCCCAACGCCCUGUGCCCCGAGCCUGCCUACAUGUAUUACCUGAAGGUAUAUUUAACCUGCAUUUUUAUCUUGUCUUAUAUGUCAUAUUGGAGGAAUCACUGUUAUGAGGUUGUUCUGGGGGUCGCGGAUCCAUUACCCAGAUCCACGUUGAUUGGAAUAUAAACAAAAAUCAAUGUAGCCUGUGUGAUGAGCCUGUGCCCCCAAAGUAUGUGGAAAUAGUGCUGUGUAUGUGGAAAUUAUGCCUUGCAAGCAGGACAGCUGCUUAGCUGGCACAUUGUGGUGGGCUAAGAUCGUGGGAAAUGAAGAACUAAGGUUGGUCACCUAUAUAAAAAUUGUAAUGUUGUGACAGUUAGGUUGAAGGGGGUAGCAACUACCCCUGUUGUUACAGCAGAAUUGCAAAAUCCAGAAAGUCAUGUGGGACUAUGGUCUUCCGGUAUAAAAGAACUAAGAUGAGAUGUGGAAGUGGCCAAUGUGGGACUAUGGUCUUCUGGUAUGAAAGGACUAAGAUGAGAUGUGGAAGUGGCCAAUUGGCCUCAAGCCAUCCCUUUUGAACUGCUUGUCCAAUUGACCCUCAUUGCAAUGUGAUUUCUGUGUAAGUGUUUGCUAUUUUACCUUAAAAUUCAAUAAACCUCUGAAACUCAAA